GCCAAUCGGGUCUUCGGAUUCGUUUUGUUGGUGACUCUGAAUAACUUUGCUGAUCGCACGGUCUCGCACCGGCGACGUAUCUUUCAAGUGUCUGCCUUAUCAACUGUCGAUGGUAGGUUAUGCGCCUACCAUGGUUGUAACGGGUAACGGGGAAUCAGGGUUCGAUUCCGGAGAGGGAGCCUGAGAAACGGCUACCACAUCCAAGGAAGGCAGCAGGCGCGCAAAUUACCCACUCCCGGCACGGGGAGGUAGUGACGAAAAAUAACAAUACGGAACUCAUACGAGGCUCCGUAAUUGGAAUGAGUACACUUUAAAUCCUUUAACGAGGAUCUAUUGGAGGGCAAGUCUGGUGCCAGCAGCCGCGGUAAUUCCAGCUCCAAUAGCGUAUAUUAAAGUUGUUGUGGUUAAAAAGCUCGUAGUUGGAUCUCGGUUUCGGGUGAAUGGUGCACCUUGCGGUGUUUACUAUUUACUCGGACGAUUUUGUUGGUUCGUUCCUGGUUCUCUUUAUCGAGUGCCUUGAGUGGCCAACACGUUUACUUUGAAAAAAUUGGAGUGCUCAAAGCAGGCGCUACAGCCUGAACAUUAGUGCAUGGAAUAAUGGAAUAGGAUCUCGGUUCUAUUUCGUUGGCUUUCGGAGUCGAGGUAAUGAUUAAUAGGGACAGACGGGGGCAUUCGUACUGCGACGUUAGAGGUGAAAUUCUUGAUCGUCGCAAGACGAACUACUGCGAAAGCAUUUGCCAAGAAUGUUUUCAUUAGUCAAGAACGAAAGUUAGAGGUUCGAAGGCGAUCAGAUACCGCCCUAGUUCUAACCAUAAACGAUGUCGACCGGCAAUCUGCUCUCGUUAAAUUAAUGACUGAGCAGGCGGCCUGCUGGAAACAAGAGUAUUUGGAUUCCAGGGGGAGUAUGGUUGCAAAGCUGAAACUUAAAAGAAUUGACGGAAGGGCACCACCAGGAGUGGAGCCUGCGGCUUAAUUUGACCCAACACGGGAAAUCUCACCAGGCCCGGACACCGGAAGGAUUGACAGAUUGAGAGCUCUUUCUUGAUUCGGUGGGUGGUGGUGCAUGGCCGUUCUUAGUUGGUGGAGCGAUUUGUCUGGUUAAUUCCGAUAACGAACGAGACUCUGGCCUACUAAAUAGACGUCGAAUCUUUUAUAGGUUUGUCGUAUGCUUCUUAGAGGGACGGGCGGCGUUUAGCCGCACGAGAAUGAGCAAUAACAGGUCUGUGAUGCCCUUAGAUGUUCUGGGCCGCACGCGCGCUACACUGAAGAAAUCAGCGUGUGUUCCUAGUCCGAAAGGAUUGGGUAACCCGUAGAACCUUCUUCGUGAUGGGGAUUGGGGAUUGCAAUUAUUCCCCAUGAACGAGGAAUUCCCAGUAGGCGCGAGUCAUAAGCUUGCGUCGAUUACGUCCCUGCCCUUUGUACACACCGCCCGUCGCUACUACCGAUCGAGUGAUUUAGUGAGGACUCCGAACUGGUCUCUGAUGUGACUCUCGGGUUAUGUCGGUGUACUGGAAAGUUGUCCAAACUUGAUUACUUAGAGGAAGUAAAAGUCGUAACAAGGUU
rnacentral:rRNA from 1 species